rnacentral:rRNA from 1 species
CCUACGGGUGGCAGCAGUGGGGGAUAUUGCACAAUGGGGGAAACCCUGAUGCAGCGACGCCGCGUGAGUGAAGAAGUAUUUCGGUAUGUAAAGCUCUAUCAGCAGGGAAGAAAAUGACAGUACCUGACCAUGAAGCCCCGGCUAACUACGUGCCAGCAGCCGCGGUAAUACGUAGGGGGCAAGCGUUAUCCGGAUUUACUGGGUGUAAAGGGAGCGUAGACGGUUAUGUAAGUCUGGAGUGAAAUCCGGGGGCCCAACCCCGGGACUGCUUUGGAAACGGUGGAACUGGAGUGCAGGAGGGGCAGGCGGAAUUCGUGGUGUAGCGGUGAAAUGCGUAGAUAUCAGGAGGAACACCGACGGCGAAGGCGGCCUGCUGGACUGAAACUGACGUUGAGGCUCGAAAGCGUGGGGAGCAAACAGGAUUAGAUACCCUUGUAGUC